rnacentral:rRNA from 1 species
GACGAACGCUGGCGGCGUGCCUAAUACAUGCAAGUAGAACGCUGAAGGAGGAGCUUGCUUCUCUGGAUGAGUUGCGAACGGGUGAGUAACGCGUAGGUAACCUGCCUGGUAGCGGGGGAUAAUUAUUGGAAAGGAUGGCUAUUACGCCUUAUUAGAGGUUGUUGCUUGAUAACUUUUUGAAAGUUGCAUUUGCACCACUACCAUAUGGCCUUGCGUUGUAUUAGCUAGUUGUGGGGUUACCGGCCCACCAAGGCGACGAUACAUAGCCGACCUGAGAGGGUGAUCGGCCACACUGGGACUGAGACACGGCCCAGACUCCUACGGGAGGCAGCAGUAGGGAAUCUUCGGCAAUGGACGGAAGUCUGACCGAGCAACGCCGCGUGAGUGAAGAAGGUUUUCGGAUCGUAAAGCUCUGUUGUAAGAGAAGAACGAGUGUGAGAGUGGAAAGUUCACACUGUGACGGUAUCUUACCAGAAAGGGACGGCUAACUACGUG